rnacentral:misc_RNA from 1 species
AAAACGCGAUAUUUCGUACGAUACGCAGAACUCAGUGAAUCAUCAAAACCUUGAACGCACUUGGCGCCCUCGAGUCUCCGGGCUCUGGGGCAUAUCUGUUUGAGUGUCAAUAAACCCCCCUCACAAACUCCAACUUUCGGGUUGGGUUCAAAAUGUGGACGCUGGUCGCUGUGCUUUCCUUUACGGGCGGUACACCGGCUUAAGAUUAGUGGUGAGAGGCUCGCGAAUCGCUCCUCGAACACUGACUGGGUAAGUUUCCUUUGGAAACAAACAAAUACUAAGUCAAAUGUUCGCGGGUUCAUAGCGUCUCGUGCAGCGCUUGCCCUGCAACUUUUCCUUCUCCCUCGUUUCGGCGACGGUGAAAGAAAAACGCAAACCUUAUGACCUCAAAUCAGGUAAG